ACAAGGCUGGAGAGCGCUACCUUCAGCUGACCAAGCAAGAAUGGAGCACUCAUGUCAACAAGUCUUUGUCUGCUGGUACUUCAUUCGAUGUCCGAGGUUUCCAGGGCGACUACGAUGUGAUCGUCUGGUACCAGAACAAACCAAUCAAAAUACAAUCCUUUUCAGUUGGCAAGACUGAUGUGACCGUUAACGUGGACAUUUCCGGAAACGAACAAGUUAUUCAACUACCCACUCUCACUGACCCGUUUGCCUUUGUGCCUGUCCAACACGAAACAACUAGCAAUGGUCUGAGAACUGAGGGUCACGCAACAUCCACCUCUACCUCCCACCAACUGACCUGUACCACUCAUGCAUCAGGAGAGUCUGAAGUUGGGGACGACAAGGAGGUGGAAGUGGGCUGCGGUACCGAUGAAGUUUUAACUGGAUGCUCGGGCUACCUCAAA
rnacentral:sRNA from 1 species